UUAGAAAGGGACCAUGGAUGAUGU
rnacentral:miRNA from 1 species